AUUGAACGCUGGCGGCAUGCUUUACACAUGCAAGUCGAACGGUAACAGGCCUUCGGGUGCUGACGAGUGGCGAACGGGUGAGUAAUGCAUCGGAACGUGCCCAGAGGUGGGGGAUAACGCAGCGAAAGCUGUGCUAAUACCGCAUGUGAUCUGAGGAUGAAAGCGGGGGACCAAGCAGCAAUGUUUGGCCUCGCGCCUCUGGAGCGGCCGAUGUCAGAUUAGGUAGUUGGUGGGGUAAAGGCCUACCAAGCCGACGAUCUGUAGCUGGUCUGAGAGGACGACCAGCCACACUGGGACUGAGACACGGCCCAGACUCCUACGGGAGGCAGCAGUGGGGAAUUUUGGACAAUGGGCGCAAGCCUGAUCCAGCAAUGCCGCGUGCGGGAAGAAGGCCUUCGGGUUGUAAACCGCUUUUGUACGGAACGGAAAGGCUCUGGCUAAUACCUGGGGCUGAUGACGGUACCGUAAGAAUAAGCACCGGCUAACUACGUG
rnacentral:rRNA from 1 species